GAGGGAUCAUUACCGAGUUUACAACUCCCAAACCCAAUGUGAACCAUACCAAACUGUUGCCUCGGCGGGGUCACGCCCCGGGUGCGUCGCAGCCCCGGAACCAGGCGCCCGCCGGAGGGACCAACCAAACUCUUUUCUGUAGUCCCCUCGCGGACGUUAUUUCUUACAGCUCUGAGCAAAAAUUCAAAAUGAAUCAAAACUUUCAACAACGGAUCUCUUGGUUCUGGCAUCGAUGAAGAACGCAGCGAAAUGCGAUAAGUAAUGUGAAUUGCAGAAUUCAGUGAAUCAUCGAAUCUUUGAACGCACAUUGCGCCCGCCAGUAUUCUGGCGGGCAUGCCUGUCCGAGCGUCAUUUCAACCCUCGAACCCCUCCGGGGGGUCGGCGUUGGGGACCUCGGGAGCCCCUAAGACGGGAUCCCGGCCCCGAAAUACAGUGGCGGUCUCGCCGCAGCCUCUCCUGCGCAGUAGUUUGCACAACUCGCACCGGGAGCGCGGCGCGUCCACGUCCGUAAAACACCCAACUUCUGAAAUGUUGACCUCGGAUCAGGUAGGAAUACCCGACUGAACUUAAGCAUAUCAAUAAGCGGAG
rnacentral:rRNA from 1 species